GCUCACCUGGCCCGAAGGGCCAAGUGAGCUUUGCUCAUCACUUGGCGUCCGUCGUCCGUCGUCCGUCGUCGUCCGGCGUCGUCCGUCGUCGGCGUAAACUUUUUACAUUUUGAACUUCUUCUAGAGAACCACUGAAUGGAAUGAAACCAAACAUGGCAUGAAUGUUCCUUAUGAGGUGCUGACCAAGUGUUGUUACUUUGUAGUCGAUCCAUCAUCCAAGAUGGCCGCCAGCGGGGGACUUAGUUUAACAUAGGACCCUAUGGGAAAUGCAUACAAAUGUCUUCUUUUAGAGAACCACUGAAUGGAAUGAAACCAAACAUGGCAUGAAUGUUCCUUAUGAGGUGCUCACCAAGUGUUGUUACUUUGUAGCUGAUCCAUCAUCCAAGAUGGCCGCCAGCGGGGGACUUAGUUUAACAUAGGACCCUAUGGGAAAUGCAUACAAAUGACUUCUUUUAGAGAACCACUGAAUGGAAUAAAACCAAACAUGGCAUGAAUGUUCCUUAUGAGGUGCUGACCAUGUGUUGUUACUUUGAAGCCGAUCCAUCAUCCAAGAUGGCCGCCAUCGGGGAACUUAGUUUAACAUAGGACCCUAUGGGAAAUACAUACAAAUGUCUUCUUUUAGAGAACCACUGAAUGGAAUGAAACCAAACAUGGCAUGAAUGUUCCUUAUGAGGUGCUGACCAAGUGUUGUUACUUUGUAGCCGAUCCAUCAUCCAAGAUGGCCGCCAUCGGGGAACUUAGUUUAACAUAGGACCCUAUGGGAAAUGCAUACAAAUGACUUCUUUUAGAGAACCACCGAAUGGAACGAAACCAAACAUGGCAUGAAUGUUCCUUAUGAGGUUCUGACCAAGUGUUGUUACUUUGUAGCCGAUCCAUCAUCCAAGAUGGCCGCCAGCGGGGGACUUAGUUUAACAUAGGACCCUAUGGGAAAUACAUACAAAUGUCUUCUUUUAGAGAACCACUGAAUAGAAUGAAACCAAACAUGGCAUGAAUGUUCCUUAUGAGGUGCUGACCAAGUGUUGUUACUUUGCAGUCGGUCCAUCAUCCAAGAUGACUUAGUUUAACAAAGGACCUAUGGGAAAUACAUACAAAUGUCUUCUUUUAGCGAACCACUGAAUGGAAUGAAACCAAACAUGGCAUGAAUGUUCCUUAUGAGGUACUGACCAAGUGUUGUUACUUUGCAGUCGGUCCAUCAUCCAAGAUGGCCGACAGCAGGGGACUUAGUUUAACAAAGGACCUAUGGGAAAUACAUACAAAUGUCAUCUUUUAGAGAACCACUGAAUGGAAUGAAACCAAACAUGGCAUGAAUCUUCCUUAUGAGAUGCUGACCAAGUGUUGUUACUUUGUAGCCGAUCCAUCAUCCAAGAUGGCCGACAGCGGGGGACUUAGUUUAACAUAGGACCCUAUGGGAAAUACAUACAAUUGUCUUCUUUUAGAGAACCACUGAAUGGAAUUGAACCAAACAUGGCAUGAAUGUUCCUUAUGAGUUGCUGACCAAGUGUUGUUACUUUGCAGUGGAUCCAUCAUCCAAGAUGGCUGCUAGGGGGGGGGGGGGGCUUAGUUUAACAUAGGACCCUAUGGGAAAUACAUACAAAUGUCUUCUUUUAGAGUACCACUGAAUGGAAUGAAACCAAACAUGGCAUGAAUGUUCCUUAUGAAGUGCUGACCAAGUGUUGCUACUUUGUUGCCGAUUUACUGUUCAAGAUGGCCACCAGGAUAUUUUAUUAAAUAACGGGACCAAUAUUAAUCAAAAUUUGGCCUCAAUCAUUAUUUGGGUAUCUGUUAUGAUUUUUAUCUUUCUUUACAUGAUUUCUAAAACCAAAGUAGAGUCAGGUGAGCGACACAGGCUCUUGAGAGCCUCUAGUUUCUUUC